CUCUCCCUGCCAGCCCCAGCCCUGGGGCUUGGAUGUCUUCAGGGCCCUGAAUCUUUCUGGUCAGGGAACAGGACAAGAUGCUUUACCUUGAAAUGGGCUGCUUCCUGGUUGAGGCUGCAGUGCCAUCGGGGUCAGGUUGGCAGCCAGCUGCUCCCAACUCUUGAAGGUUUUCUUCAGGUAGGAAGCUGGUCCCACUGGGGUGAAUAAGUCCAGGCUUACUGGAGAGAGAUCUUCAUGGGGCUCCACCUCCCCUACACCCUGCUCUUAUCACAUCCAGGAUGUUCUUCAGCACUGUGCACUGGGAUGCAGCCCCCUUCCCUUCAGGCUGCAUGUGAUGGUCUUCUCUGGGGGUGUCUGGCAUCUAUGUCAGACCCCUUUUUGUUGAGUUUUGGCUAAGCCACUCAGCAGGGCUAUUGAAGUCUUUAUCAGUAAUUCAACUAGGUCUCCUGAUGUCUCCUCCUAGUAGUGCCAAACACAAUCCUCAUCACUCAUUGUGCAUGUGUUCCUCCAUCUAUCAAUUAAUUUUAAUAGUACCAUCACUAUCAAAACCAAUUCAAUAAACAAGUAUUGUCAUUGGAGUGAAUUCCCUUCACACUCUAUCUAUUUCCUUGUUCAACAGUUCUGAAGGAAACCAAAACAAUGAAGAAUUAAUUUAAAUUCCCUCAUGUACCUGAUGUAGUUCCCCU